AAGAGAACACUCUUGUCAGGUGUCUGUCCUCCGCCUUUUCUGUUGGUGAGGGCCAGGUUCCUGCAGGCUUGCAGGCCACCUCUGACUCACUCCCGGUGGCGGCAGCUGCUGCUCUUCAUCAUUUUCUUCUUUGGCAGUUCCAUACCUGUAUGUAAUGAAUUUUAAUAGUCUUAUCCUUCUCUUUCUCCCACUUGAAACCCUUAGUCUCAACGAAGAGCCCCUCCUUCUUUCAUGUCUUCUUUUGUGUGUGACUUACUCAGUCUAAGGUAAGUCGCCUGCCUGAGCGUGGGUGGGAGUUUAUUUCCUGGAGCAUGGGUAACUUGUCAGCUUCCGUGUCACUGCAGAGGAUGAUAGCUACUCCCUUGGCAAGCACUAACUUCUGUUAGUCCUGAAGGGAGGGGUGGGGCCUCAGGGGACCCUCCCACACACUUGAUGAAUGCCCAGUCGCCUGCAGCUCUAGUGCAGGUCACCACAUGAAGACAACAGCUAUGUCAAGCCCAGAAUGGCUUUUACAUUCUUUCUGUCUCCUCUUCCCUGAGCAUUGGAGAGGGUGAUAGAGUUGUCCCAUUUAGGGCUAAUUAUGACUCCAGCCUUCUUAAUCGCAAAUCAAAUGUUAUUGCUACACUCUUCCUGGGUCUGUCUCCUCAGACCCUUUCUUGAAGUCUGCCCAAGGACCAUCAACUUCACAAUGGAGAAAGAAAAAGGCUACCUCCAAUAACACUGCUGACAGAUCAGUCCAUGGUCUUCCAAAUGAGAAUCACAGCAGUUUCUACUAAGGGUUUUGCUCUAAUCCUAACAUUUCUGGCUACAGGCAUGGGUCUUCCCUUGCAGGGAAUGAGAGGUGUUCUGGGUUUCACCUCAUCUACAUCCAUCCCCAUCACUCAGGUGUUACUGGUUUUGAAGGGAUGAAGGGAACAUAAAGAGCAGCUGAGGCUUGGCACUCUGAGAGGCCAUGGAAGGCCAUUGGUGAAGAUGCAGCCUCAGUUGCACUUGACAGCCCAGGACUGAAGGGGUCAUGAAAAGAAGUUGAGGCUUGGCACCAUGGAGAGAACCUAUGAGAGGUUAUUGGUGAAGCCUCGUUGCAGUAGAAGGCCCCAGAGUAUUGGAGAUACCAGUACUGUAGGAAGCCAACUCUAAGAUGGCUCUGGGCACCAGGUGUGCCAUUGUCAUAAACAACAUCAGCGCAGAUGUAAGUCCGAGUCUGGCGCCAACCCCUCCGGAGCGGGUGCAUGCAAAUUAGGUGCCGGCAGACUGACCAAUCCCAGGGGGCCAUGAAGCCUUUCCCUGUGCUGGAGAGUAUAUAAGCAGACCUCCCUGGGUUCCCUAGGUCCCUGUAGCAGCAUUGAGGCAUUCCUGCAAUAAAGGCUGUUGAGAAGAAUCUGGCCGUUGUGUCUUUCUUGCUGGUCAAGAGCAGACACAACACAGUACCAUGGGAUGAUCACCAAGAACAGCAGCAACAGUGGAGUGGAUCACUCUGAACUUAGAAUGCCACCGAGGGCAGUGCUGGAGAAGUGACACCAGCCCUUUGGAGAAUCCCAGAAGAUUAUGUGUGGAUCCCAGACAUUGAAACAAGAAGCUGUAACAUUGAAUUUUCCUUGGAGACCCCAAGAUGUUUGAGAUGCCAGAGCCAUGAACUAUCUGCUGAGGAAAUCUGCUAACAGGGAGUGGAACCAGCCCAAGAGAAAGAAGUUUGUUGCAGUCAACAAAGAUAAAAAAGAGGUUGGAGAUCUGAAGAGAGUUUUGACAUCAGACAUGAAGAUCCAAAGUUUGGAGUUUACCCAUUUGGUUUCCUGUCUUGCUUUGGAGAUUACAGUUAAGUGAUUGAGUAAAUCUCAGUAGAGACCUUGAACUUUGGUCUUAAAAGAUUAAGUUAAAACAUUGUUGAGACCGCCACAGACUAUGAGGACUUUGGAAGUUGGACUAAAUGAACUUUGCAUUAUGUUAGGUUUAGUUAUGUCCCAUAUGUUUGAGCAAGCCUCUGGGGUUCAGAGACUGGAAUGUGAUGAUUUCUAUAUGCUUGGGCUAGGGAGUGGCACUAUUAGGAGUGUGGCCUUAUUGGAUUUUUAUUGAUCCAACAUGUUGGGGACUCCCCUCUCAGCACGCAGGCCAGAGGAGAGACCCAGAACAAAGAAAGAACACACAUUUUAUACCUUUGUAAGGGGCAGAUUUGAGCAACAGGGUUCUCAUUGGUGCUUCUGUCCAACCCCUCAUUAUGUUUUAAUUAUGUUAUUAAUGUUAAUAAUGUUAUUAAUGUUUCCCUCAUUAAGUUUCAUCCACAGGUAAAGGAACCCAAGCUGGGCCCAAUGCCAAGUGCACUUCUUCAAUGUUACAUUCUGGGACAGGAGAGAGGAUCACUGGUUGAGCCUACCUACUCUGUGGACACAUUGUAAUCCUGAAACUGUUCUGAGCUUCCAUUCAUGGCCAGGUGUGCUCCCAGUGUAACAGAAGGUUCAUGUUGAUACUUUGAAUCUGUGUAUGAUCCUGUGUCAGGUUGACAUGUUUGGAACCAAACAUUCCCAUAACUUAUGGCUAACUGAGUUGGUGAUUGAAGAUUGCUUCAGGGAAGUGUCAGGGAAUUGUUACCUGUUAAGUCACCAUGGUUUUGAAGAAAUCUUUUUUUUUUUCCAGGACACCUGAUCACUUCAUCGUUGGGUUCUGUGUUUGAAAACUGGGCCAGCUCUGAACCUGGGUGACAGAACACACUGUGGAGAAACCUUGUCUCUAGGAUCUUGCUCAUACACUCUUGGCUCCUCUUGCUCUGGUGGAGCUCCUCAGUGCCCACUGGGAAAGUGAUCUGGCUCCCAAGACCACCAGCCUGUUCAAGUCAUGGAUGGCACCAGUUUUCACAGGCUGAGUGAUUAGAAAACAGACUCUGGGACAGCUGUGUACAUAAGAGUCAUCUGGGCAUUGCUCUUACAAUCCCUGUAGAAGACAAGAGCUCAGGAUUGACCCACCCGAAGUCCCUGGGAUUCACUUCUUCACCCUUCACACCUCGGCUUGCAGAAACAAGAUGCCACGUUUGACUUUAUGUGGUUGCUGGGAACAUGAAUUUGGGUCCUAGGGUUUACAAGUCAAGCACUUUACCCAUUGACCAUCUCCCUAGCCGUGUGACUGGCUUCUUUACCUUCAUGAUAACUACUCAUCAGCUAUAUUUUAAUCUGGCAAGGGGACUUGAAUUUGAAUGAGAUGACUCUAGUUAAAUAGUUUUGAUGAGGAGUGACAACUGAAGGCUCUUCGGGGCUAAAGGGAUACUUAGGUGUUGUGUUCCAUCCCCACCCCUGUUGACUAUAUAGGGCGAUACAAUGACUAACACAGGCUGGACACUUUAGAAGACAAACUUCAGACAAUUCCCCACCAAAAGGAUGUAUACCCUGGUUAUGGGUUUUUGGUUUGGGAGACUAUGUAUGCUAAGAUGAAUGUAGCUUGAUGAGUUGGGAAGACACUACAUAUGAGAUGAGCCAUGGUAAAGACUGCAUAAAGACAGGGGCAGACUUGGAUCUUUCCUUUCUCGGUUGCUAAAUGACUGAAAAAGCCUUUUAACCCCAUAGACCUUCUGCUCAUCUAAACAGAGUGGAGGUUGGCACUAUCUAAGACAUAUAAAGAACCGUCAAAACUCAGUGAUUAAAAUAUUAGACUAGGAAACUUAGAAAAGACAGAUCUGCCACUAAAGAGGCUAUAAAGAUGACAAAGUAGUAUAUGAAAAGAGGAUCAACAGCAUAAGCCAUCAUAGAAACACUCAGUAAACAUACAGUAUGAUACACUAAGGAGUUGAGGGGUCACUCAGUGGUUAGGGGCACAGAGGACUCUGCCAGAGGACUUGAGUUCACUUCCCAUCUCAUGUGGUUCGCAAUUGCCUAUAACUCCAGCUCCAAGGGUGAGGAUGGUCUUCCACACACACAUGCACACACACACACACACACACACACACACACACACACACACACACAUACACACAUACAUGCACAAAUGCGCAUGCUCACACACAAACACAUACUCACAUAUAUAAAUAAAAUAGAGAUCCUACCCUACUAUCAGAAUGGUUCAAAAAAUUUAAGGACAUCAACAAACACUGGCAAGGAUGUCAGACUCAUACGCAGCUACUGAGAAUGUAAAAUGGGACAAUCAGUCUAAAAACUGCAUUGAUGUCUCUAGGAAAUCAAACAUAUGCCUGCCAUAUGACCCAGAAAACAUUUUCCUAAGGCAUUUAUCCAAGAGAAGUGAAAGUGCACAAAAUCUACAUAUGCAUUUUCAUAUAUGUUGAUUUUCAAUAACUAGAAAUAACCCAAGCAUCUCACAACAAGCGAGCAAUUAGACAAACUACCAAGUCCACAUUCAGAAAUACUACUCACCAAUAGCAAUGAGAACAGUGUCGGUCUACACAACAACUCAGGUGGAUAUCAAGAGAAUCAUGCUGGGGAGGGAAAUUUCAGACUUCCGUAUGGUGUUUGAUAAAAUUUAUGCAACAUUCUUAAAAUUAAUCAAAGUAUAAAUCUGGAGACAUAUUAUUGCUGGUCACAGGUCGGGAGAAGGGACAGGUGGCAGUUGGUUCUAAAAGGUAUCACAAGAGGCCACUGAUGGGACGAGUCUAAGUUUGACUAUGGUGGUUUUCUUUUUCUCGGUUUUCUUUUUCUAUGAUAAACACCAUUACCAAACGCAAUUUGGAGAGGAAAGGGUUUGUUUCAUCUGACAGGAGACAGAUUGAAAGCAGGACCUUAAAGCAGAAACCACAGAGGGAUGCCCUUUAGUGGUUUGCUCCGUGUUCAGCUAGCUUUCUUAGACAACCUAAGCGACCUGCCUAGGGAAGAUGCUCCCCGUAGUAAACUGGACAGAGAAGGUACCACACACAUCCCCAUAGGCAACCUGAUGGAGGCCAUCCCUUAACCGGCAGGUUCUUUCUUCCCAAGUGUAUCUCAUAGAGAGGCACACGAGUCUCUCCACAUAACAAAGUUACAGACAGAGUGGCACCGGCCUAAAAUCUCAACUACGCAGGUGACAGAGGCAGAAGGAUUGCAAGUUUCAGGUAUGCCUGUGUUACAGAUUGGGAUCAACGCUACCUUGGGCAACUUAAGUCAGAUGGAACCAGAAGGCUGGGGAUACAUCUCAGCGGUAGAGCACUGGCUUAGCCUGUGUAGGUCAGUUUCUAGUAUGGCAAGCAAUCAAUGAAUAGCUGAAAAUAUGCAUGUCUAAGCACAGGGCAAAACUAUGAAACCUGGAUAUGACUAGUAUAGUCUGUCAAUUUUCUGGUUGUGAAGUGGUGUUGUGGUUAUGCAAUCUGUUGC
rnacentral:lncRNA from 1 species